CCUACGGGUGACAGCAGUAGGGAAUAUUGCUCAAUGGGGGAGAGCCUGAAGCAGCAACGCCGCGUGGGGGAUGAAGGUUUUGCGAUUGGUAACUCCUUUUGGUAGAGGAGAUAAGGACGGGAUCUAACGAAUAAUGACCGUCUAACUCCGGACCACCAGCCGCGGUAAUGCGGAGGGUGCAGCGGUUACUCGGAAUCACUGGGCGUAAAGGGCGCGUAGGGGGGCUAGCGAGUCAGAUGUGAAAUCCUAUGGCUUAACCCUAGAACUGCAGUUGAAACUGGUAUUCUAGAGUAUGGGAGAGGUAGGUGGAAUUCGUGGUGUAGGGGUAAAAUCCGUAGAGAUCAAGAGGAAUACUCAUUGCGAAGGCGACCUGCUAGAACAACACUGACGCUGAUGCGCGAAAGCGUGGGGAGCAAACAGGAUUAGAUACCCGAGUAGUC
rnacentral:rRNA from 1 species